rnacentral:lncRNA from 1 species
ACAAUUUUGCAAUGCCAAAAUCACUAACAUGACCAACCAUUUCUUGAUCUAGCAACAUAUUGCUUGGCUUCAAGUCACAAUGCACCACAGGCGUUGAAUAGCCAUUGUGGAGAUAGUCCAUUGCAGAUGCAACAUCUAUCAUUAUAUCCAAUCUCUGCAAUAAGUUUAAGAACAAGUUGUGAGAAUAUAACCAUUUAUCAAGUGUCCCAUUGGGCAUGUAUUCCAACACCAGGACCUUGAAAUCAAGGUUGCAGCAGCUUGUUAUGACUUUGGUCAGAUUUUUGUGGCGAAGUUCCGGAGGGAUUCGGCUUCUCUCCAUUUUCCCCAAGUUUCUAUUUGGAUUAAUGACACAUGUCAUAGGUUAAAAUAAAUGAUUAAGAUUUAAUUUUUCAAACUAAACCUCUAAGCAUGAUUUAGUUAAUAAAUAUAUUAUAUAUCAAGUAUCAAAAUUAUUAUAAUCUCACAAUUUUAGCAACAUAUUAUUUUGUCCAUAUUAUUUAUGUAAAAAAGUUUUCUUCCUAUUAUUUUUUUUACUUAGGAUCUUUUUUUUAUUUUUCUUUUAUAUAAUAUUUUUUAUUGUAAUCUUUUGUUAAAGGUAUAUAUUGGUCCGUGAUUAAUAAAUUACCAAGAGAUAAUCAAACCAUUUUGACAAACUAAUUUUAAUUUCAUAAUAAGAUUAAGAAUGGGGUGAUACCAGUACAUACGGUAGGUUAUCUAUAGUUUCCAUACGUCUAUUCAGUUAAUUAUUCUUCUAAUUAGAUAAAAAAAAAUAUUAUAUAAAAGGAAAAAGAAAAGAUCCUAAGUAAAAAGAAAUAAUAGGAAGAAAACUUUUUUUACCUAUAUUUAUGGACAAAAUAUAGUCACAAGCAUGAUAUUAUUCAACAUUUUAACACUCCCACUCAAUUACUAAAAACAGCGAGAGGAAGUUGUAAUUUGGAGAGGUUGGGAAUGCGAAGUUUCAGAAGGAAAAAGUUGACAAGGAAUAAUGUUCCUCCUUGAUUUCCUCUAUGUUAAAUACAACUUCUGGACUUUCCGUUUUUCUUGUCUUUCAGCUUAAAUAUUAUUUAAGUUGUUGUUUAUUAGGAACAGAAAGUUCAGGUAGUUGUGCAUUAUGAUCAUUUCAGAAAGAUUAAAAUUCCUCCUUUAUUUCUGUACAAUUCCUUGUCAUUAUGAACUAAACUAGUUUUGGUUAGCUUGGUUUGUGUUUACGAAUUUUAGGUUGGAGAUAAUCAUGUCAUCAGGCCCUAAACUCUAAUAGUCAGCACUCUAUGCAGCUAAGUGAAUGAGGGAACGUACAUUUAGCAACCAAUAAAGACAAUCACAGUCCUGUGCAACAAUAUGCAGAUAUGUGAUUGCAGGCAACAACUAGUUGCAGUCUGGUUAGCAGGGAUAUUCAAGUUGUUGAUAAUCUCGGAACAUAGAUUGUUGUCAUAUGCGUUCCAGCAGAGAAUUGAUAAACAAAGUCACACACAUGUAGCACAGUCAUGCAUUGAAAAUGACCAUAUUAUGCAGACUUGGAAUGUAGGAGUACAACUUACAUUUUGAGGAUAUAUACUAAAAUCAACAAGUUUAUAAAGUCACAAACAACAGAGCAUUUCAGAUGCCUAUAUCUGUGAAAACAAUUGAUAGUUGAGUGGCUAUCAAAGUUAUUAACUCAUCAAUGAACUCACAGAAAAACUUUCGAUUAACUAUAAUCGACUAUCUCUACUCUCCAAGAAGUCAAAUCCACUCCUUGUCACAAACCUCUCAAAGACUCAACUCUACAAGAAGCCAAAUCCACUCCUCCUACGAUAAUGACUCUAAGUACGAAUCAAAACACUCUACUCAUGACAAAAGAAAUUCUAACUAUAGAACUUCUUAACUUAUAUUUCUAUGAUCUCUCAAAUUGAUUGGCCUUUGUGUGUUAGCUCUCUUUUCUUUCUCUCGUUUUUGAAAUCUUUUCUUCCAGCUCUUUUUGAAAUCUGAUUGCAUGUCUAUCGUCAACUUCGUAAACCAUCAUUUUGUUAGGACCGAAAAUCAGCAGGUGUAAACGCGGAAGCUAGCAAAGCAAACCUCAAAAGACCACGAGUAAGAAGACAACGAGAAAUAUACCAAAACACACAAAGAUUUAAUGUGGUUCGGUCAAUCGACCUACGUCCACAAAGGAGAUGAGCAAUCCACUAUAAAUAUGAGAGUACAAAAUACAGAGAGAAACAACCUCAACCAAUUCACUCGGAAUACAUGGGAGGUUCACACAAGUGAUAAUGUAUCCAACUUGUGACCCAUAAAUUCUCUCCCUAACCAAAACUCUCAAAGCUCUUAAGACUACAUUGUGAAUGCUGACUAAGUUAGAAGGAACAUUUCUCUAUUUAUAGAGUCCUAAACCUUUUCCUACAAGAAAAUGAUUAGUCAAUCAAAACCUUCCCCUUAAAGGAAAACCUAUUUAUGAUAAGAAAUUUAGGGAAAAUAAAACCCAACACAUUUUCCCUCUUUUUUGAUGAUGACAAAUCGUCUACUCCUAUUUCCUGUAUAAGGUCAAUACACACAGUACACAAGAGCAAUACAUAUCAAAAAGAAGAGAAAAGCGUUAAAACAGUAAACCAAGCCAACGAAAACGCAGAGCUCCGGAAGAGCAACAUCGCGUAGAACACAACAAGAUACCUCCAAUCUAAUGAUAUUAGCCAUCUGUAAACAUAUGCAAAAACAUGCAAGAACGAAGGAAGCAGAGGAUCCGAGAUACACCAACAUUUUAAGCUCACAAAAUAUUCAGUCUAAGCACAAAACUCAAAAGAACAUAACAAUGUCUUCAGUCCAAAAGUAUAAGAAACUAGACCAGAAAGCAGGGAUCAAGAAGAGGAAUGAUUGGGGUUUGGAGGACAGGAUGAAGAAGCAAGUAACUGGAGGAUCCAGUCCACUCUAGCGUUGCUAUCAAGCUUCUUCUGUACUAACUGAUCCUUCAAUCAACCAACUUCUUCUUUAGAUGCAGUUAAAUCAGUAUGCAUUUUCAGCCAGUAGAUUUUCACACUUUUCCCUUGCAAUCUUAAGAUCCCAAAUUAGUAGACGAGUAACAGGUCCAGAAGCCCGCGGAGAUGCAAUAGGAACCUGUACGAGUUAAAGCUCUUCCCUCACCCAAUGGGCGCACAGCAAACUCAUUGAACACUAAAAGGUUUAAACUGCAUCAAAUUUUGGAGGCAAGUUGCUUUUGAUUCUUAUGUAAGUUUGACGACAAGGAAUUUAGGCAGCUACUCCCGGAGACUACACUUAGAUGGCUGGAAGGAGAGGACUUGAUAAAACUGGUACAGUUGUGGUGAUAUAAUUGGAAGCAUUCUCAAAGUUGUGUAAAUACGAAAAGAAAAUCUUGUGUUGAGCAUUUUAAAUCUCAUUUUCAACUUCCAUAAAUCAAGCCAACAACUAAGAUAAAAUACACUCGUGCGAAAUUGAAUUACAUAAGAGAGAAAACUGGUAACUAAAUAACAUACAAGAGAAGGUUGGUAAUGAUUCCACCUAAUGCCGACUACUAACAAGCUGUAGCCUCAUCUUUUUGAGUGUUGAAAGAGCAUCCUUCAUGCUAAUUCUUGCAUCAGGUCUCACUAAAGUGCACUUCAAAGCUAAUUCCAUGACAGAUGACAAACAUUGCAUCUUUGCAGUGAUUUGUUCAUCUCCGGGCUGUACCAAAUUAGAAUCCACCACCUUGUGAAGUUCACCCGGAAAGGAAUCACUAAUCCAGCUUUGUAUGCUCAAGCCUCCAGUAAAUAUGUCAUCACUUGGUCUUGUUCGUGUGAACGUCUCCAUCAUCAGGAUACCAAAACUAUAAACAUCACAACUCGUGGAUACUAUUCCAUCUUGUCCAUACUCUGUAUUCAUGGUCGAAAAUGACCACAAAUCAAUUUAUACAUAGGGGAAAGAAUUGUUUUGAGUAUUUAAAGGCGAUACGAGAAAACUUAAAAUAUACCUGGAGCAAUAUAUCCAAUGGUUGCAACUGUCCUUGUUUGAACAAAAGCCUCCCCUGCACCUAACAUUUUUGCAAUGCCAAAAUCACUUACAUGAGCAACCAUUUCUUCAUCUAACAAGACAUUACUUGGUUUCAAGUCACAAUGCACUACAGGCGUUGAAUAGCCAUUGUGGAGAUAGUUCAUUGCAGAUGCAACAUCUAUCAUUACAUCCAAUCUCUGCAAUAAGUUCAAGAACAAAUUGUGAGAGUAUAACCAUUUAUCAAGUGUCCCGUUGGGCAUGUAUUCCAACACUAGGGCCUUGAAAUCAAGAUUGGAGCAGCUGGUAAUGACUUUGGCAAGAUUUCUGUGGCGAAGAUUGCGAAGUAUCUCACAUUCCGUGUCAAAACUUUUGAAUGCACCCUCCAAUUGCACAUUGAAUACCUUUGCUGCAAAAAUGAUACCAUCCUUAAGUACCCCUUUAUAAACCCUGCUGAAACUCCCAUUACCAAGCAAGUUGGUUUCGUUGAAUCCUUCAGUUGCCUGUUCAAGUUCAUAAUAGGAAAUUCUUUCAUGCCCUCUUACGAGAGACAGAUCCUUUUGACUAGCAUUCUUCUUUGUGUUUCUCAAUCUUAACACGACAAAUCCAACAGUCAACAUGAAGAGUGAUCCUAUCCCUAAUAGAAUAUAUAAACCUGUAAGCACUCUUUUUCUUCUUGAUUUCUUUGUAGAUUUGGUUGGGCAUGGUUUUACGUUAAACCGGGAGUCACCACAAAGUGCAUCAUUGGACAAGAAAGACUGACUGGUUACAUUUGCAAAGGGACCAUCAGUGGGAAUUUCUCCACUGAGUUCAUUGAAAGAGAAAUUUAGGUAUUUGAGAUACACAAGAGCUUCUAAUGACUUUGGAAUUUCACCGCUAAGAUUGUUAUAGGACAAAUCCAAGUAUUCCAAUGCCAACAAUUUGUCAAAUGAUUCAGGAAUAGGCCCCUCUAAUCUAUUAUGUGCUAGAGAAAGAUAAAUUAAUUUAUCUAGGCCCCCUAGAGUACUAGGAAUCUUACCAGAAAAAUAAUUAUUUGACAGAUCAAUCAGUGUUGCACCCUUCAAGUUUCCGCUCUCUAGCGGAAUUUCCCCACUCAAAUAAUUGGAUGAAAUAUUGAACUCUAUGAUGUUUUGAAGUCCCCCCAAUCUUGCAGGUAAUCUAGAAUCCAGCUUGUUGUUAUCUAGAUAGAGUGUCCUCAAACUAGUAACAUUCCCUAAGCAUGGUGGCACGGAACUAGAAAAUUGAUUUUCUGACAAUUCUAAUGCACCAAGAUACUGUAAACUGCAGAUAACAUCUGGUAUGGCUCCUUCUAACUUGUUGCUUCCUAGGUAAAGUUCUUGAAGGUUCAGCAUUCCUUGCACUGUUUUUGGAAUAUGACCUAUCAACUGAUUGUUCGACAGACUCAUCCUUGUCAAUCCAGUAAGAUUAGUAAUUUGUUUUGAAAUGACACCCUUCAGUUUACAUUUAGAUGCUUCAAAAAUUUGCAAGGAGUUUGAGAAAUUACCAACAGAUGCAGGCAAAACACCAUCCAACGGAUUACCACCAAGCGUGAGUACUCUUAGAUUCCUACAGUUUGUCAAUGAUUCAAGGAAGCUCAAUGUUGAAUCGCUGACAAAAUUAUUCCCCCACAAGUUGAGAACCUCAAGGUAUUCUAAGUUACCAAGUGAUUUUGAAAUUAGACCUGUGAAACUGUUGCUGGAGAGGUCUAACAUUGUGAGUCUUGAAGAAUUAGAGAUUGAAUCAGAGAUAAAACCACUCAGAUUAUUUCCUCCACAAUAAAAUACUUGUAGGUCGGGCAUUCCACGACCUAAAUCUGAAGGCAGAGUACCUGUAAGCUUGUUUUGUCCAAAAUCUAUUUUCUGCAGUGUUGACAUGUUGAAAAUGCUGUCAGGGAUAGAGCCAGUUAGCUCAUUCAGUGAUAAUACUAAUGUUUGAAGUUUCUUAAGAUUAGCGAGCUCCAUUGGUAUCUCUCCUGUCAAUUUUGGGAAUAUAUAUGAGCACAAGUUUUGGCAGAAAAGAGAAAAAGGAAGAAAAUUUCAUACUACCUUCCAAAUGCAGAUCCAUAAGAUAUAGUCCUGUAAGAGUUGUUAAGUUGGCUAACUCUCUUGGUACAGUUCCAGCAAUCUCAUUUUCAGUCAAUUCCAAUAUUUGAAGCUUUCUGCAUUUCUCCAGGUUUGGUGGAAUAACUCCAUCAAGGGAGUUUCUGCCGAGGUAAAGUCCUUCCAAGUCUGGAAGAUGAUCACAUAUCGUGAUUGGAAUCUUUCCAGUAAGAUUGUUGCCACUAAGAGCAAUUACUUGCAUUGUAGUGAUGUCAAAGAUUGAAGGUGGUAUAGAGCCACUAAGCUGAUUAUAUUGCAGGUUUAGGAUAAUCAAGGAACGAAGAUCACCGAGUUCUUGAGGGAUCUCUCCUUCAAUAUAAUUACUCUGUAUUGACAACACUUGCAGUUUCGUCAGAUUGGAAAGGGAGGAUGGAAUUUUACCCGAAAAUUGGUUAUUCGAUAGGUACAGAAAGCGUAGGUUUGGUAACAAACUUAAAAAUGAUGGAAUGGCUCCGGUGAAGUUAUUGUUUUUAGUAUUAAAGAAUUUCAACCUCUGCAAACGAACCAACUCUAGUGGCAACUCUCCAUGGAAAGUGUUGUUACUGAUGUCAAGCGAUGAAAUAAAUGAGAGGUUUCCAAGGUGUGGAGGAAUGGUACCAUAAAGUUGCAUGCUUGAAAUGUCUAAAGCAGUGACUCGAUGGUGACGGGAGCUGCAAGUGAUUCCAAUCCAGCUGCAAACGGAGACGGAAGAAGACCAGUUUGUUGCUAUGAUAUUGUUAGAAAUGUGUGAUUUAAGUGCAAGAAGAGCAGCUUCAUCACUGCUAAUAUUAGGAACAGUAGCAUGUAAAAUAUUGUUAUGUAGUAGAAUGAAAAAGAGAAGAAUGAAACUUCUAUCCAUAAUUAAGCCAACAAGAAUAGAUAAUGCAAAGGAAUAUAUUUUAAUGAUAUCAAAUUCAAUUCAGUCAACACUUAGUCUGUGCAGUGUUUUCUUGGUUCAGAUUAAUGUUUAGUUUAACAAGUUGUAUGUAUUAGUCAAAGUCUCAGAGCACUCGCAAGUCUCUGUAUAUUUUUAUUUUUCUUUUAUGUGGAAGAGAGUGAAUUGAAAUAAAGAAAGAUAAGAUUAUCUUUUUUAUAGAUUUUCUUUUGUACCUAAAAAAAUAUAUAUUUUAGAAAAGUCUCUCUAUCGUUACUUUUUAUCUUGAGAAAUAAAUGAAAUGACGAAAAGUCUCAACGACUUGGCUGUUAUCUCAUUGUCACCUUUUUUCUUUUCUCAUUUUUUAUUGAGAGUUCAAAGUUGGAGAGAAAAUUCUUUUAAAUGUAACAAAGAUGUGCGCAGUGUGCUGUCGUAUAUUUGUUAAACUAGUUUCUACAAUACGUGCAACGUACAUGUGUCUCAUGAAAUUUCAAUGAAAAUAUGUGCGUAAUGAAUAUUAAAAUGGAACAAUCUCAAAGAAAUGUUGUGACAAUAAUUUAUAAAAGAUUAUAUUAAAUGCGACUAAUAGAUAUAAACGGUUAGUCUGCACGAUCGUAAUUUACUGAUUUUAACUUUUCGUUUAAGUGUGUAACAGGUUGUAUAACGUGUUUUAGCAAAGCAGUAACGACAAUAAGUAAAAACACAGUGUUUUUAUGUGGAAAACACCCGACUCAGAAGGUGAAAAAAUCACAAUUUGUACCCCUAUAGGAUUUAACUUAAACUUCACUAAAUCACUGACCCUCCACAGAAAACAGAUUACAAGUCUACAUAACCUAAGGAAUUACGAAUUAUAAUUCCCAAACUUCAAACACAAACCUUCCAAGGUAGGUGUUCCCAACCCUUCAAGUUAUCACAACCUAAAGACAACUGACCUUGAAGAAACCUUACCCCAGAACAAGAACCAGGUUCUUGUAAGUUGCUUUUAAGUAAAGACACAAACACUUAUUAAAUUAAAAACCUUCCGCACUCAAGGAAGGGAAAACCUCGUUUUAUUAAUUCAACUAUAAGAUUUUGUGAUUACAACUCAAUAAUCAAAAAGUCUUAUCUCUACUACCUCUCUCGAUUGACUACAAUCGAUCUCUCCAAAAGGCCAAACCCACCUUUUGUUACAAUCCUCACGAAAACUCAACCCUACAAAGAGCCAAACCCACCCUUUGUAUAAUAAACUGUAAAUUACAAUCAAGAACAAAACAAGAAGAUAGUUCUACACGUUAAAAACCUUCUCACUCAAGAACGUUUUAAACGUAGCAAACCUAUCGAUCUUGAAGACUUUAGUUUGAUGAAUAAUUCUCACUUUUCUCUCUAUGUGAAGUCGUGGGAUUCUUCAUCAGCAUCGUCCUCUUCUUAUAGAGUUUCUUUUGCCUUAAGUCCUUAUCAGAUGAGGUAAGAAAGUUAUUGUUAAACAAGGAUUCCCUUUUAAAGUACAAUCCUUAUUAUAUACAACUUCCUUCCUUAAUAAUAUAUUUAAGGUUUUCCUUAUUUGUAUCAACUUAUACCUUUAAUAUAUUAUUUUUGGCUUUGACAAAUAACUCUAUUUUCUUGAUUACUUGGCUGACCCAUUUUACUCGAUCAUGGACUCGAGCUUGGCUUCUUUUGCUGCGUACAUUUGCUACUGAUUAUUUGCGCUUCUUGUCUAUCAUCAAAACAUGAAUUAUCGAUUCUACCAUAUUCUAUCAUAUUCCCCCUUUUUGACGAAGACAAACAAAUCUUUCUGUGUGAUGCAUGCGCAAAUACUCUUCCCCCUUUUGACAAAUCAAAAAGAAUCCAACAGCGGCUAAACAAACCCAAUCAACAUCCAUAGCAACAAUAUAGGUCCAGCCAGUUGAGCAUAAUAAAAUGAUCUGGCAAAAAAACAAAGAGUAACAACACAGAGUUUAAACAACUAAGAGAACCAGGUUCAAACAAGAUGAUUUUUCAAUGUGAAGGUUGACCAGGCUUAGUUGAAGCAGAAGCCAGCAUAUUCAGAACUCUGUCAACUCUUGCAUUGUUAGCAAGUUGCUGCUGCACUAACUGAUCCUUCAACCUGUGAAUUUCAGCAUUUGAAGUGUCAAGUUCAGCACGUAACUUCUGGUUUUCUGACUCAAGAGUGGCAUACUUUUCUUCAGCUACUUUAAGUUCCCUGAGUAACUGAGCAACAGGACCAGAUGUACGUGGAGAAGCAUUUGCAACCUGCUCUGACUCCAUGGGAAUGCCACAAUCAGCAAGGAUAGUUUGAGUGAACAUAUCAGCACGAGUUAAAAUCCUGCCUUCUCCCAAUGGUACUUCAAAUGCAUCAAACACUCUAGUUAACAGAUUUUCAAAAGCUAACUGAUGAGAACCUAGUUUAGGAUCAACAAUUCUAGAAAGAUGUUUGAUAAUCAGUGUGGGCCAGUCAAUGCGUUCUUUGCACUCAAGAGCAUUCAUAAGUCUCAUGUCUCUUAUGGAUGCAAUGUGACAUUGGUGACCUCUAGGCAGUAUCACCUUAUGAACUAUCUCUAAAAGAAGCUUAUGCAAAGAUCUCAUAAUGCCCUUUAAAACAGCUUGUGCCCUAGAAUUGACUCUACCUUGAGAGAAUUUGGCUGGCAAGCUAGAAUAUUCAUCAAAACCCCAAUUGUACUCAUUAAUCCCCACAGAUGGUAUAUGCAAGAUUUCCCCAAGUUUAGUUGCAUCAAAGACAAUGCCAACCCCCUUCACACUAGAUGAUACCACAUCUCCUUCCAGGAUUACCAAGUUUGUAUAGAAGUCUACCACUUCGUGUUCAUAAAUCAAAUUAGGUUCAAGGAAUAAUUCCUCCCACCCCUGAAACCUUAGUAGUUCACAAACUUGCUUGACUAUAUCCAUUGAAAGUAUAUCAUGGUGAAAAGUUCUACCCCUAAGCACUGUCUUGGUUUGGAAAUACUUUUUCUUUCCCACUUUACGAAAUUUAUCUACAUUUCUUUUUGCAGAUUUCGAUUUUGAUUGAGGGGUUGCAGAAUGUUUACCCUCAGAGACAUCAUCAGUUUCAGAAUCAAGAUUCAUUGGAGAAACAGAUGAGUGAGCAGGAGACUUACCCAGAUGACGACGCUUCACACUAGAUGUUGCAUCAUCAGUUGGUUUGGCCACAUUCGCACUCCGAUUCACUGGCCUGUGUGGACGAACCUGUUUAACUGCAAUGUGCUUUCUUGGCCGUCUUGGUUUUUUAGGGUGAAGGGUACUCAGAAGAAUGUCAUCAUUGACUGGAGAAUGUGGAGAUGGUGGUGGAUUUUGAGGAGUAGUUUUGUGAGAUGGGGAAGAAGGAGGGUUAUUUUGGACGGUGGUUGUGGGGGUUUCUGGGUUUGGUGAUAAUGGGGUUUCUUGGACUGGUGGUGGUGGAGAUUCUAUGGUGGGUGGUGGUGAAGAUUUUGCAACUACAUGUGGAGAUGCUUCUUUAACCGGUGAUGGUGGAGAUGUAACUUUUGGUGGUGGAGAUGUAGACGGAUCUGAUUUGGGUGAAGAUGUAGAUGGUUUGGUUGGAAGUUGGCUUUCUUCCCCUCGAUUAGACACAGCAUCAACGACUGUGUUCUCUUCCCCCUGAGAAAAUGCACUGUCAGACAAGUUUUCGUGAGUAAGCAACGAAUGGGUUAACCAUGGUGAUGGAGGAGAUUUCUUUUUCCUUUUUUUUUGAAGAAUGAAGAUGAGAAAAAGUUGGUUGUUUGUUUAGAGAGAGUGCUUUAUUGGGAACGGUUUUGAUGUUGUAUUCGAGGGGUUUGAGCAAUUAUGGGGGAUUGACAUAGAGGAGACGUGUGUUUUGACGGUUGCACCUGCUUUUCAGAGAUGUGACAUAGGAGAGAGAAGAUGGAAUUGUUUUCUCCUUUUCUUUUUCUUUUUUUUUAUUUUUUGACAGCUAAGUGUAAAGGAGUUGUAGAACCAACUUGACUGAACCUGGUUCAUAUCUCCUUAGAACUUGGUUGGACAGAAUUCAAUCUAAAAAGAUGUUCCCUAACUCAAGUCUAUUUUUCUGAAAUGACUCUCUUCCUAGUGCCUUGGUAAAAAUAUCAGCAACUUGAUCCUCAGUUUUGCAGAACUCCAUUACUAUGUUUUCUUUUUCAACAUUAUCACGAAGAAAGUGAUGUCUAACAUCUAUGUGUUUGGUGCGUUUGUGUUGAACUGGGUUUUUGGCCAUGUUCAUAGCACUUGUGUUAUCACAUAGAAUAGGCCUACAACCUGUUUCUAUACCAAAGUCUUUAAGCUGUUAUUUUAUCCAAAGAAGUUGGGCACAACAUGAAACAGCUGCAACAUACUCAGCCUCUGCAAUAGAUAGAGCCACUGAAUUUUGUUUCCUAGUUGCCCAAGAUAUUAAACAUGGUCCUAAAAAGUGUGCCAUCCCAGAGGUACUUUUUCUAUCAACCAUAUGUCCUGCAUAAUCUGCGUCAACAAAUCCUUUUAGAUCAAAAGAGUCACCAGUUGGAUACCAGAGAACCAGGUUCAUUGUGCCUUUUAAAUAUCUCAAGAUUCUUUUGACAGCUUUUAGAUGUGAUUCCUUGGGAAAAGAUUGAAACCUUGCACAUAGACCAACACUGAACACUAUAUCAGGUCUACUGGCAGUGAGGUAUAGGAUUGAUCCAAUCAUACCUCUAUAUCUAGUGUCAUUGACUGGUGAACAUGGUUCAUCCUUAUCAAGCUUUGUUGUUGUCCCAAUGGGUGUGUCAUUUGACUUAGCUUCAUUCAUAUCAUAAUUCUUCAGUAAUUCCUUGAUGUACUUUUGUUGAUGAAUUGAUGUUCCAACUGGAGUUUGCUUAAUUUGGAGUCCCAAAAAGAAGUUUAACUCUCCCAUCAUACUCAUCUCAAACUCACUAUUCAUUAGUUGAGCAAAUUCUACUCCUAGUGAGUCAUUGGUUCCUCCAAAUAUGAUAUCAUCUACAUAUACUUGGACUAUGAAUAGAUCUUUACCUUGUUUUCGAAGAAACAGUGUAUUAUCAAUUUUUCCUCUUGUAUAUCCAUGUGUGAGAAGGAAAGUAGACAAUCGAUCAUACCAUGCUCUAGGUGCUUGUUUUAGCCCAUAGAGUGCUUUGUCCAGUUUAUAUACAUGAUCAGGAUACAUGGUAUUCUCAAAACCUGGGGGUUGUUUUACAUACACCUCUUCUUUUAGGUAGCCAUUUAAGAAGGCACUUUUGACAUCCAUUUGGUAGAGUUUAAACUCCAUGUGAACAGCAUAUGCGACCAAUAUUCUAAUUGCCUCAAUUCUUGCUACUGGUGCAAAGGUUUCAUCAUAGUCUAUACCUUCUUCUUGAUUGUAUCCUUGUACAACUAGCCUAGCUUUGUUGCGCACUAUUUGUCCUUGCUCAUCGAGCUUGUUUCUAAACACCCACCUAGUUCCUAUUACCAUCAUGUUUUGAGGUUUUGGAACCAGGUUCCACACUCUGCUUCUUUCAAACUGGUUGAUUUCUUCUUGCAUGGCACUAAUCCAAUCAGAGUCUACCAGUGCUUUCUUUAUAUUUUUAGUCUCAAUCACGGACACAUAGGUAGAAAAUGCACACAUACUACGUAAUUUGGAUCUUGUAGAUAUGCCUGAGUUAAGAGGAGUAAGAAUAUUUUGCAAAGAGUGAGAGCUUUGAUGUUUCCAACUGUGAGUUGGAAUACUUACUGGCUCUUGAGGUGCAGACGAACUAGUUUCAUUAGUAGACUUAUCUCCUAUUUCAGAUGUGUUAUCAGAGGGUACAAAUUCUUUUUCCCAUAAAUUGGUUCUGAUGGCUUGGAGCAGGUUCCCUCAUUCUGUUCAUCCUCCAAAUUUCCUUCAACUUCACUGCUAUUUUCAUUAAAGACAACAUGGACACUUUCUUCUACACGGUUUGUUCUUUUAUUCAGUACCUUGUAGGGCCUUGCUUUGUGACGAGUAGCCCAGAAAAAUUCCUUCAUCACUCUUAGCAUCAAAUUUUCCCAAAUUGUCUUUGUCAUUGUUGUGUAUAAAGCAUACACACCCAAAGGCCCUAAGAUGUGCUAAAUUUGGUUUUCUUCCUUUUAGCAGCUCAUAUGGUGUUUUGUUUAACACUGAUCUGAUCAUACAUCUAUUUAUUAGAUAACACCCGUGUUCACUACUUCAGCCCAAUAGAAUUUUGGAAUUUUGCUUGAGAUUAACAUUGUUCUUGCAAUAUCUUCCAGUGUUCUAUUUUUCCUAUCAACAACACCAUUUUGUUGUGGUGUUCUAGGUGCUGAGAAGUUAUGCUCAAUCCCAUUUGUAGUACAGAAUUGUAGGAAUUGUGAGUUCUCAAACUCCAGCCCAUGAUCAGAUCUGAUGCUGAUUAUUUCUUUGUUGAAUUUCUUCUGAACCAGCUUUGCAAAGAUUUCAAACAUAGUGAAUGUCUCAUCCUUUGUUGCAAGAAACAAUGUCCAAGUGAAUCUUGAGUAGUCAUCAACUAUUACAAACACAUAUCUUUUUCCACCCCUGCUUUGUACACGCAUUGGUCCACACAAAUCCAUGUGAAGCAUUUCUAGUGUCUUGGUAGUACUCAUUGUCAAGUUUGGUUUGAAGGAUGACCUAACCUGUUUUCCUUGAAUACAGGUUCCACAUACUUGGUUGUCCCUGAAACUUUUGGUUGGCAGUCCCCUAACCAGGUCUUUAGAUAUAAGCUUGUUUAUAGUUGUCAUACUAAUGUGUCCCAUUCUUUUGUGCCAUAGCAUGGAGCAAUCAGAGACUGCACUUAGACAUUUAAGAGUAUCUUCCUUGGAGUCAACAAUCUUGGCUUUGUACACAUUCUUGUGUCUCCUACCUAGUAGAACCAGGUUCCCAGUCACUGAGUUUGUUACUCUGCAUUCCUUUUCUGUAAAGAGAACAUUGUUUCCUUUUAUGUUGUAGGCCAUUCCCAUAAUAUACAUUCUCAAUUGCAUGAGUAUCCAUUGAUCCAACAUUUCCAAUUCCCUGAAUUUCACCACUUUUUCCAUUACCAAAGGCAACGUUUCCUCCUUUGAUGUUCUUGAGUAAGAGGAAGCUUCUUUUAUCUCCAGUCAUGUGUCUGGAACAUGCACUAUCCAAGUACCAUUGUUGUUACUUCCUCUUCACUGAUCCCUGUAAUUUACUUUUGGGGAUUAGAUUUUGGUACCCAAAUCCACUUUGAUUUAUGCUUAGGGAAUGGAUGGAUAAGAUUUCUUCUGGCCCAUCUAGGAAGAGAUUUGACUGUAGGAAUUUGUUUUUACUCAUUGGGUUUCUCAUGAUGAGGUUUUCUCAAAGAUUUCAAGUUUUUGUUAUGAGCAGUUUGUUUCCUUUGACAAUCAUGACUUUUAUGCCCUACCACCCCACAGUGCAUGAAUAGACAAUCUAUGUUGGGAUUUUUUACUUGAGAGCUAGUUCUAUCAAAUCCUAUCCCAUGUCUCUCAGAUGUGCGAUUCUUGUGAAUGUUGUGAAGCAAUAUAGAGGACCUGGUCCAUCUCAUUCCAUUUUCUGCUUCAGUUUUAGUCACAAGAAGCUCUUUGGAGAGUGCUUAAUUUCUUUUGGUUACCAAGUCUAGGUUUUUACUUAGUUCAGUAUUCUUGGAUAAAAGAUGAAGAUUUUGUUUUUCAAGAAUCUUGUUUUCUUCUCUUAGAGAUACAUAGUCUUCCAUUAUCAAUUCUCUUUUUGAGUCUAUGGUUUUAUAUGCAUCAAUGAGAGUGUAGAGUAAAGAUUCUAGCUCCCUUUUUGAGUAUGAGUUUAGAUUGUCUUGUAUGUGAUGAAGACUAACCUUUUCAUUCAUAUCUUCUUCUUCUUUAUCCUCUUCAGAAUCUGAUCCAGCCAUGAGUGCUAGUCUGGUUUCUUCUGAUCUGCAGGUUUCCUUUUCUUCCUUGGUUUCCACUACUACAAGAUCAAGAAGGUCAUAAUCAUCUUCUUGUUCUAGUGCAAUAAGGGACUUAUUUUCUGUCUCAUCACCCUCAGACUCUUCAUCAGAUGAAUUCCUCAUUGCUGCAAAGGCCCUCUUCAUUGAAAUAUCUGUCUCUUGAGUUGUCAUUCUUCUGUUUGAGGGGACAAACUUAUCCUUUUUGAUGUCUUUUCCCUUCUCAAAGUUUGCCUUUUUCUGCUCUAAAGCCCAAAGUGGACAGAAUUUGAUGAAGUGAUCUGGGCUCCCACACUUAUGACAAACCUGGUCUUUAGUGUUUUCAGAUGGUUUUUGAGACGUUUUUUUUGAAAGGCCUGCUCUCUCUUUAGCAUUCUGGUGAACUUUUUGGUUAUGAGGGCAAUAUUUUCAUCUUCAAAAUCAUCUGAUGUAGUAGCCUUUAGAACCAGGUUCCUUUCCUUUCUUUUUCCUCCAAUUUCCUUUCUCUUGGUUUUUCUUGAGUUCGUAUGUGAUGAGAUUACCAAUUAACUCAUCCAUGGCCAGUGAGUCUAGGUCGCGGGCUUCAGUGAUAGCCUCGACUUUGCUUUCCCAAGUUUCAGGAAGGACACUCAAGAGUUUCCUUACUGCUUUUCCAUUAGGAACUAUCUCUCCUAAGGAGUACAUCUCAUUGAUGAUGGAGGUGAACCUGGUGUGCAUGUCUUGAAUAGUUUCCCCUUCUACCAUCAUGAACAGCUCAUAUUGCCUGUUCAAGUUAUCAAUUUUAGACUUCUUGACUUGCGUUGUUCCCUCAUGAGCGGUUUGUAGUGUUUCCCAUAUGGCUUUGGCAUCUUGACAAGAUGAGAUUCGAUUGUAUUUGUCUGGUCAUAUGCCACAGAUCAAAAUUUUCUUGGCUUUGGCAUUGUUUUGGAUUGCAAGCUUGUCUUCAGCAUUCCAUUCUUCUCUUUCCUUUGGGAUUUUGGUGAUUCCAUCAGUUGCGGUUUUCAUAGGUAUGGUUGGGCCAUCUAGAAUUACUCCCCAUAGAUCAGGGUUUUCACUAAUAAGAUGGUCCAUCAUACGAUUUUUCCACCAUCCAUAAUAUUUGCCAUUGGACAGUGGUGGACGUGUUUGUGAAGCUCCUUCUUGUGGGGUAGGUGGUGCUGCCAUUGAGUCUUUUCAAGGUGUGAAUCUUUUAUCGAAAAGACCUGUUCUGAUACCAAUUGAAGAAACCUUACCCCAGAACAAGAACCAGGUUCUUGUAAGUUGCUUUUAAGUAAAGACACAAACAUUUAUUAAAUUAAAAACCUUCCGCACUCAAGGAAGGAAAAACCUCGUUUUAUUAAUUCAACUAUAAGAUUUUGUGAUUACAACUCAAUAAUCAAAAAGCCUUAUCUCUACUAACUCUCUCGAUUGACUACAAUUGAUCUCUCCAAAAGGCCAAACCCACCUUUUGUUACAAUCCUCACGAAAACUCAACCCUACAAAGAGCCAAACCCACCCUUUGUAUAAUAAACUGUAAAUUACAAUCAAGAACAAAACAAGAAGAUAGUUCUACGCGUUAAAAACCUUCUCACUCAAGAACGUUUUAAACGUAUCAAACCUAUCGAUCUUGAAGACUUCAGUUUGAUGAAUAAUUAUCACUUUUCUCUCAAUGUGAAGUCAUGGGAUUCUUCAUCAGCAUCGUCCUCUUCUUAUAGAGUUUCUUUUGCCUUAAAUCCUUAUCAGAUAAGGUAAGGAACUUAUUGUUAAACAAGGAUUCCCUUUUAAAGUACAAUCCUUAUUAUAUACAACUUCCUUCCUUAAUAAUAUAUUUAAGGUUUUCCUUAUGUGUAUCAACUUAUACCUUUAAUAUAUUAUUUUUGGCUUUGACAAAUAACUCUAUUUUCUUGAUUACUUGGCUGAUCCAUUUUACUCGAUCUUGGACUCGAGCUUGGCUUCUUUUGCUGCGUAUAUUUGCUACUGAUUAUUUGCGCUUCUUGUCCAUCAUCAAAACAUGAAUUAUCGAUUCUAUCAUAUUCUAUCAGACCUGAUUUAGUUUAUAACUCAUUGAACUGAGAUUACAUCACGACUUAACCACAAAGAAAAACUCAUAACACAUAAAAUCUGUAAAAGGACCAAGUUCUUCGGUGUGUUGCUUCUAUGUGUUCCUUCAGUUUGUUGGAAGCACUUGCAAAGUCAACUUUUCAAUUUCACUUUUUGCCCCUUUCAGUGCACAAUUAGUUUGGACGACUUCACUUCUAUUUAAGCAUAAUUUUUCAUAGAGUUACAGUUUACUUCAAACUCCUCAUUGACUUGAAUUUUCUUGACUUAGAGUUCUACUUCAACUAAGACUCCUUCUUCAAUUCAAAUCAGUUGCAUUCAUUGGUGCUUUUGAAUUGUAAUCGAACUCCAACACUUCAAUUUAAUAGUAACUUGAAGAGUUCUAAUUUAAGUGAGAUUCCUUCUUUAAUUAAAACUUCUUGCCUCGUUAGACUCAUUCUUCAAAUCAAACUCAUUGAUUCUUUCUCUUCAAUUGAUCAACUGCUUACUUCCUUGGGCUUUCUCAUGAAAUUAGCAUUAUUCAUUUCUUUUUUUCUGCACUCUUGUCUUUAUUUAUCUUACUGACAGUGUACAUCUGGAUCAUGUUGACUCAAGUAUUUCAUCUUUAUUUGUCAAUCAUUAAAACUGCAUAAAUCUCAACAAGUUUUCCCUUUUUGAUGAUGACAAACUUCUUUUCUUUGUGCAUUCAAAAAAAAUCAUCUGUAGACAUUGAAGCAUGAAAUACUAACAUGAAGCAAGUUAGUGAAUGAAAUAUAAACACUGCACAACUCUUAUCUUCCCCCUUUUGGCAUCAUUGAAAAACUAUGUCAAUCCUAUAGUAUAUGAGAUAGAUUGAUUAGUUAAACUAUUUGUGACACUGGCUAUCACCAAGACAAUCAGAUAACGACUCCAUGCAACAUAAUAAUGUAUUAUAGAGAGUAAGAGCACAAGUCAUUAAAGCAAUAAAUAAUCGCUCCAUUAAACUGCCAAAUAAUUGUUUUAUAUAAGAUCGAAGUCAUACUGAAUUAAGCAAAAAUUAUUGAGCACCAAUAAAAAAAACACAGGAUUUAGUAAAAUAAAGUCAGAGGCAUUAACCUUGAAAAGUGAGGAGAAGAAUGAAACAUGUGGCGAUAAUUUUGUCAAUCAACGAAUAAUUUCAGCAUUUUCAAUUUUUUCUUUAUCAAGAAUAGUCUGUAGAGUUAAAAUUCUCAUCUGAUCUUUUUUAUAAGUUGUAUGAGCUGCCUUCAGUUCAAAAAUCUUAUCAGUGAAAAUAUUACUUCGGCUUUUUCAUUGGAAUAUCAAUUUUUCUCACUUUUUUCUUUUUCUUUUUCUUUGUUUUUUAUUUGAAAUUCCAUGACUAGAUUGGAAUGAAGUAUUGAAUUGAUUUUUUUAAGUGAAAUAAGUAUAAAUAUCUAUGUGAACAUGCCAUGUUGUCACCAUGUAGAUGCCACAUACGACGAUAAAAGUGGAGACAUGAGAAUUAACAGUUCAAAGACAAAUGUUGACACCCAAUUUUGAUCCCCAUGAUUAGAAUUAAAUUUCGAGUUUCUUAAUUUUCAAAUAAAAUUUAAAAUAUUUUAAAGAUAUUUUAAAUAGUUUUAACAUAUAUAUAAUUUUUAAGUAAUAUAUAUAUGUUUUAUAUAUAUAAUUUGGUAUGUAAUUAACAUAAUUUUAUAAAUAUUUUGAAAAUCAUCUUUUCCGUUUGAGGAAUGGUACGAAUUUGUACACUAACCAAUUGUCAAUCCUUAUUUGUUAAGGGGUUUUGAAAUUUCUCAAAAUCCCACAUCGAAAAUCUUUCAGAUUUCAGAGAUCUUAGGCCCUAUAAAUAAGCCUUCUUCUCACUGUUCAGAGGAGAGGAUUUUCGGAGAUCAAAGAGUACCCAAAAAUUUUUGAGAAUUCUUAGUUUCAUAGUUCAAAAUUUUAAAACGUGUUGUGAUUUUUCGAGUUGAAGAAAAUUUUAAAACGUUUUGUGGUUUUUCGAGUUGAAGAGGUGGAAUCGUCUCUGUUCCGUCAAACUCGUAGUUUCGAUUCACUGCCUAGAAUCAGGUAAAUUCUUUCUUAGCUUUGUUUUAUUUAAUUCUCAGCUCUUCUAUGCUUUCUGUUUAUUAUAUGUUCUUAGCUUUGUUCUAGUAGUCAUGUGUUAGACUUCGAUUUGACCUUUUAAUAGUUAAUAAUAUUUAUCUUGUUCCUAUUGUUUUAUUUAUUUUUGUAUAGUUGAAAAUUUCCUAGAUCUUUUGGUGUUCUGUUAAUAUUUAUCGCCUGAUUUGGUCUUAAAUAUUAAUGUUCAUUUCGGCCCUAACCCUUUGCUUGUUCCUAUAAUGAUAAAAAUUCAAUUAUAUAUUUACACAACUGAUUCAUACAAAUAUCAAAUGUUAGUUCAAGUCUCUGUUAAGGGUUGUUGCUUCGAUUUUGAAAAUGGCAUGAGUUGUUGGUUUGUCUCUUCACUGAUUUUCCAAGAUAUUUUUUCGGUAAUCUUUCAAUUUCAUGUCUUUGUUUUCUUCGUGUUUCAUUCAUGUGAUUCUAGACUAAAAUGUAGACUUCAUAGUUAGUAAUAAAAGAGGAUUCAUUAAGCUAGUCUUUCCUUUAUACAUAUAUACGGUUAUUUGUUUUCUAUUAUAUAGAAGAGCCAUGAUGAGGACGACCAAUGACAAUUUAAUAAUUUUAAACAUUAUUAUGGGUAAAGUUCUAAAUUUACAAUUAUAUAAUUAAUUGUCAAAAUAGUCUUCUAGAAGAAUCCAAAUUUUCUUUUCAAGAGUCAAAAAAGUCUUGUUUCAUGUGUGGCCCACAAACUCAUUUUAUUUUAUUUUUAAAAAUCAAUUUGUAUUUGUUUGAUUAUAAUAAUAAUAUGAAAAAUAUUUAUACCUUUAUACUCUUGACAAUUCAAAUCGUUCAUCUAUGUUUAUUACUAUUACAACAUAUUUAGUGUAAUCCUACAAUCUUCCAUGCAUGUAAUUUCCUUUUUAAUUAUAUAUAAUGUUUUUAAACAUAAGUAUUCAUAUAAUUUUAUUUAAUCGAUUUUAUCUCCAAAAUAAUAUUUAUUUUAUCUUAAUUCCAUGUAUGUAAUUUCCUUUUUAAUUAUAUAUAAUGUUUUUUAAACUUCAUAUAAUUUUAUUUAACCUAUUUUAGCUCCAACAUAAUAUUUAUUUUAUCUUUAAAAUUUGUGACUUAAAUAAGAAAACAAAAAUAGCACAAUUCUAUAGAGAUAAAAAAAAAAGAAUAUAAAGUUGAUGAUGUAAGAAUUGAUAAAUAACGGCCGCAUGAUUGUAGUUUAAGAAUUUACAUAAUCAAUUAACGGGAUAAAUUUUGAAAUAGUAUAAAAAAUCAAUUUGUCAUAGAAUUAUAUAUCAUAUACUUAAGAAACUUCCACAAUAAAUAACUACGAAUUGACCUUCAUAUAAUAGUGAAUUGCACCUUUUAGUCUUGUUUUCUACUUCUUACAAUCUUGAAUUAUGAUAAAUUAGUGUCAUUCGUCGAGAGUAAUAAGCAUAUUAAAUAUUAAAUUAUGAAUACUUUACAAUUUAUAAAUAAAUAUUUUCUCAAUUAAUAUCAAUACUUGAAUUUCAGAAUUAAGUUACUUUAUUACCUUAUUUAUAUAAAAAUUUUGGUUAUUAUCGACUAGAUAUUGAUUAAAAAAAACUGUAAAACAAAAUUGUGAAAAAGGUUUAACAUUUUCAUUUUAAACUUUAUUAAAAAGAAAAAUAGUUUUGAAAAAAAAACUUAACGAAAGUCUAUACUCACUCCAUUUCGAUUUAUUUAAUGUUUAUUUGACUUAAAAUGAGUUUUUUUAAAAAAAUAAUUUUAAAACUCGUGGUCUAAAACAAACCAUAGAUGUUCAUAUGGCUAUAAAUCUUCUUACAAAGAAUAAAAUUUAUAUUUUAAAGUCAAAAUGUUUUGAAUAUAUUAAUACAUCAUUCUUUUUAAAUUGAUUAUAGAGAAAAAUAUGUCACAAAUUUUCAUAGUUUUGAGAGUUAAUUACAUUAUAUCUCCACUCUUUUUCAAAUUACAAAAAAAUUAGAUUUAUUAGCAGAUAUGCGGAUAUAUUGAUCAUGAUACAUUGCUAUUCAGGAAACUUGCAAACGCAUAACUCACGGAUGAAUCUGAGAGGAGAGAGCUAUAUUUGAGAGGGAAAAAGGAUGUACCCGAGAGGAGAGAGAUGUAUCCAAGAGACGAUAGAGAUGCAUUCAGGAGGGGAUGAAGAUGUAUUCAAGAGAGGAUAUGUAUGUAUUCGAGAGGAGAUAGUGAUGUAUCUGACAGAGGAGAGAGAUUUAUCUGAUAGGAAAUUUUUAUAAUUUUUCUAAAUGCUAGAACUGGGAAUUUCCAGACUUAAAAAGUUCAAAUCCGGGCAGCAGCGGCAGCAAUUGGGCUUAAUGUUGAAGUUUCAUUAACAUUUUUUUCUCAUUAUAUAUUGUGAUUUUGUGAUAUUUGCUUCUAACUUCUAACAUUUAUUUUAUCUAACUUAGAUGAAUACUUGGGAGUUCUUAAAUAACUCUUUUAUUUUGUUAGUUGUUUACUUAAAGUAUCAAAAUUUUCAAAAUCUCUUUUAAGUUAGAUAACUAAGCUUCAAGACUAACUUGGGACUUAUUUCUAUUCCUUCAUAGUUAGUAUUUAGCUUUCAAAUCCACGUUUAAGUGAUUGUGUUAAUUAUUCGACUUAAAAACUUGACUCAGAUAAAUUGUUAAGUUAGAAUUUUACUUUUUGGCACUUUAAUAUUUGGACUAUUUUAUUAUUUGGGAUAAUACAAAUAUGUACAAGUAUCAAAAGACUUUUCACUUUUCAAAAAAUAAAAAAAUAAAAAAAUAAGAUAUUUUAUUCAAGAAAUUUAAAUUUUUUACAAAAAUAGCCAAGUUUCUAAAAUUCGUCCGUCAACCGUGAGUUAGCGGAUUCUCUAAGAUGCCGCGAGUUAGCGUCCUUCCUUAGAAAAUUAUUUGAACCCUUACCCAAAACUCUGAUUUUAUUUAAAAUGUUUUCUUUCAAAAAAUUUCCUUUUAAAUGGUUUUUUAUUUUUUUCUCAAAAAUAAGUGGCGACUCCCAAAUUAUAAAUAUUUUUUCCAAAAACUUAACAAAAUUGGUCAAAGUUGAAAUCUCUUUCGAAACUUUUAGUUUUCAAAAUCGGGUCGUAACAACAAAUAUGUACCUUAAGUUGGAUGGUAAGGGCAAAUAUAUUAAAAAGUAUAAUGAAGGACAAAUAUAACCCUUUUCUGAGAGUACAAGGACAAAUAUGACCCUUUUUCGUUUUCUUUAUUCACUACUAUUCUAUAAAAUCCGAUUUUGGAAAAAAAGUAUCAACAAACAAAUUAAAAGGGAAAAAUAAAAGAUGAAAAUGGAGUUUACUCCUACAUGAAUCAUCUCUAAUAUAGUUAAACAUGAACUAAUUCUGAUGACUCUUCGUUUACGUUGUCGUCAUUUAAGUUUUCAUUUUUUAUUUAUCGAAAAGAAAAAAAAUAUGAACACAAAUGAUAAAAAGAAGGUUGCAAUUAUAUGAAUCAUCUCUAAUGUUGUUAUGUUUGCUUUAAAAAUUUAUAUUUAAAAAACAUUUUACAUAAAAUAUAUAGGAAAAUUGAGGUGAGAAAAAAACUUGAUUUUAAUUUUUUUUGGAUCAAUUGGUGAAAAAAAUUGGCUUAAAAAAUAAACUAUAAAAUUUAAAUAGUCAUCCAAAUGCAUUUAUAUUUUUGAAAUCUAACAUUUCAUCAUUUAGUAAAGAGUUAUCAUAAGCAAACAUUAAAUAGGGGUAUAAGGGUAACAUUACUUUAUUUCUUAAUGCAAAUACAAAUGAAAAAGUGACAUAUGAUAUGAGACCGAGGGAGUAUAUUAAGUAAGUAUAUAAUAUCAUAUAAUAGGAGGAGUUGAAUAAUUAAAUGUAGGCUAAUUAAUUAGGAGAAAUAAAUAGUUUGGAGAAUAGGAAGAGAGUUGCAUUGAAUAAUUAAAUGUAGACUAAUGAAAGAAAAGGUUCAAAGAAUGCAUAUUGAAAUAAAUAGCUAUAAAAAGACAAGAAAGGAUUCUUGAAUUUUUACUUGACAUUUUUAAAGGCUCUUGCACAAUUUUAAAUUAUUAAUGAACUAGUGAAAUUGUCAGCGCUAUGCGCGGUAUUCUUAAAUAUAACUGAUGAAAAAUUACAUUAGAUUAUAAAACAUCAGAUAUACUUAUGCAAAAUAUAGAAAUCAACUGAUCAAACAUAUGAAAAAUGCAUAUAAAAAAAAUAAAAAUGUCACAAAGUUAUCGCAAAAAAAUCAUCGCAUGGGGAAAAAAGCAACUUAUAUUAUUAUCCAUAAAAGAGGCACAAUAGUCAAUUAAAAGAAAUAAAAGUUUUUAAUGAAAAUACUCAGUUGCUGCAACUUCCUGAAAGUGACCUGCCCUCCUCAUGGUGAACUUUCUGACUUGUGGUGGGAGAAAAAGAGUUUCCCAAAACCUAGGCAUCAGUUGUUGCACAAGUAGUUGUCAUGUUAUGUACAUAAUUGGAAGGAUUCUCAAAGUUAUGUAAAUACGAAAAGAAAAUCUUGUGUUGAGCAUUUUAAAUCUCAUUCUCAACUUCCAUAUAUCAAGCCAACAACCAACACAAAAUACACCUAGCGCGAAACUAAAUUCCAUAAGAGAGCAGACUGGUAACUAAAUAACAUACAACAGAAGAUUGGUAAUGAUUCCACCUAGUGCCGACUACUAACAAGCUGUCGUCUAAUCUUUUUGAGUGCUGAAAGAGCACCAUUCAUGCUAAUUCUUUCAUCAGGUCUCACUAAAGUGCACUUCAAAGCUAAUUCCAUGAUAGAUAACAAACAUUGCAUCUUUGCAGCGAUUUGUUCAUCUCCUGCCUGUACCAAAUUAGAAUCCACCACCUUAUGAAUUUCACCCGGAAAGGAAUCAUUAACCCAACGCUGUAUGCUCAAGUCUCCAGUAAAUAUCUCAUCACUUGGUCUUGUUCGUGUGAACGUCUCCAUCAUCACGAUGCCAAAACUAUAAACAUCACAACUCGUGGAUACUAUGCCAUCUUGUCCAUACUCUGCAAUCAUGGUCGAAAAUGAUCACAAAUCAAUUUAUACCUAACUGUUUUGAGUAUUUACAUGAUAUGAGAACUUUAAAAAGUUGAAAUAUACCUGGAGCAAUAUAUCCAAUGGUUGCAACUGUCCUUGUUUGAACAAAAGCCUCCCCUGCACCUAACAUUUUUGCAAUGCCAAAAUCACUUACAUGACCAACCAUUUCUUCAUCUAACAAGACAUUACUUGGCUUCAAGUCACAAUGCACCACAGGCGUUGAAUAGCCAUUGUGGAGAUAAUCCAUUGCAGAUGCAACAUCUAUCAUUAUAUCCAAUCUCUGUGUUGAAUGCCUUGAAUCGGACCCGCUACAAACAGAAAGGACGGGGGUCUCGCUGCCCGGUCAGCGAGUCGAGGGGUCCAGAGGGGCGACGCGCCCCCUGGCCUGGGGGUCCGGGGGGGCGGAGACGCCCCCGGCCCGACGGUAUACAAUGUUGUUGUAUUGGGCCCUUAAUUUUCUGUUGAUUCAGUAUGUUGGGCCCAAGCCUGUUAGGGCGUAGCUUAGCACUAUAUAUAGACGCUAUGGGAAACCCUAUUCUGUAAUUCUGUUUUUGCCUCUCCAUAAUAAAACUGCUCCCUCUCUUCCCGUGGACGUAGCCAAUUUAUUGGUGAACCACGUAAAUCUGUUGUCUUGUUUUUCGCGUUUAUAUUUUCUCGUAUUAUCUCAAAUUCCGCACAACAAAUUGGUAUCAGAGCCUCUCGGUUAAUCGGUGUUCUUGGAGAAUUCGAGAUGUCUGCUUUGAACGUGAAAAUCGACAAAUUCACAGGGAGGAACAGUUUCAGUUUAUGGCAGAUCAAGAUGCAGGCUUUGUUGAAACAGCAAGGCUUCUGGGCGCCGUUGUCGAAAGACAAGAACGCCGUCGUUACUCCUGAGAUGGCGAUUCUGGAGGAAAAGGCGCACUCGACGAUCAUGCUGUGUCUCGCGGAUGACGUCAUCACGGAGGUCUCGGAUGAAGAGACUGCUGCUGGUCUGUGGUUGAAGCUGGAGAGUUUGUACAUGACAAAAUCUCUAACCAACAAGCUGCUUCUGAAACAACGUCUAUUCGGUUUACGAAUGGCUGAAGGUACACAACUCAGGGAACACUUAGAGCAAUUGAAUACUUUGUUAUUAGAAUUGCGUAAUAUCGAUGUGAAGAUCGAGGAUGAAGAUGCUGCCCUGAUUCUGUUAGUAUCUCUCCCAAUGUCGUUUGAGAAUUUUGUUCAAUCGUUCAUUGUUGGGAAAGAUACUGUGUCACUGGAAGAAGUCAGAUCGGCCCUUCAUAGCAGGGAAUUACGGCAUAAGGCUAACGGCACAAGUACGGACAUACAGCCUUCCGGUCUGUUCACCAGUAGCGGAAAGGGAAGGAAAAACGGCGGAAAGAAAAAUAAGCCGAUGUCGAAGGGUGCAAAGCCGGAUGAUGUUUGUAAUUACUGCAAGGAGAAGGGACAUUGGAAAUUUGAUUGUCCGAAGAAGAAGAAGAAGCAAUCGGAAAAACAAUCAGUGUCUGCUGCUGUUGCUGAAGAAGACACCAAUUCUGAAGAAGAUAUUGCCCUAGUUGCGGAUGAGCACACUCAUCAUUCAGAUGUGUGGGUUCUCGAUUCUGGGGCAUCCUAUCACAUCUGUCCUAGGAGAGAGUGGUUCACGACUUAUGAGCAGGUAGACGGAGGCAGCAUCUCGAUGGCCAACAGUUCUGUCUGCAAGGUGGUUGGGACAGGCUCGAUCAAGAUAAGGACACAUGAUGGUAGCUUCUGCACAUUGAACGAGGUCAGGCACGUUCCAUUGAUGACGAAAAAUCUGAUAUCUCUCAGUCUUUUGGACAGCAAGGGAUUCAGCUGGUCGGGAAAAGAUGGAGUCUUGCGGGUCUGGAAGGGUUCAAAUUUGAUUCUGAAAGGUGUCAUGCGUGGUACUUUGUAUUUUCUACAAGGUUCCACGGUUACAGGUUCAGCCCAUGUUGCAUCGUCAGAAUUUCACCAGAAGGAUAUGACUAAGUUAUGGCACAUGAGACUUGGUCAUAUGGGUGAAAGAGGGAUGCAAAUUCUGUCAAAGGAGGAUUUACUUGCUGGUCAUAAGGUUAAGAGCCUAGAGUUUUGUGAACAUUGUGUUUUUGGAAAACUACAUCGCAACAAGUUUCCAAAGGCCAUUCAUAGAACAAAAGGCACACUUGAUUAUAUCCAUUCUGAUUGCUGGGGUCCAUGCCGUGUUGAGUCUUUGGGAGGCUGCAGAUUUUUUGUGUCCAUUAUUGAUGACUACUCAAGGAUGACUUGGGUGUACAUGAUGAAGCAUAAAAGUGAAGCCUUCCAGAAGUUCAAGGAGUGGAAAAUUUUGAUGGAAAAUCAAACAGGGAAGAAGAUCAAGAGGUUGCGAACUGAUAAUGGGCUGGAAUUCUGUUGGUCUGAAUUUGAUCAAUUCUGUAAGGAUGAAGGGAUUGCUCGACAUCGUACAGUCAGAAAUACACCACAACAGAACGGUGUAGCUGAGCGGAUGAAUCAAACACUUCUGGAGAGAGCAAGGUGCAUGCUCUCUAAUGCUGGGCUAGAUAGAAGAUUCUGGGCAGAAGCGGUUAGUACAGCUUGCUACUUGAUUAACCGCGGACCACAUACAGGCAUACAGUGCAAGACACCUAUGGAGAUGUGGUCAGGAAAAGCUGCUGAUUAUUCAAAUCUGAAAGCUUUUGGUUCUACGGCUUACUAUCACGUCAGUGAAGGUAAGUUAGAACCAAGAGCUAAAAGGGGAGUAUUUGUGGGCUACGGAGAUGGAGUGAAAGGUUUCAGAAUCUGGUCUCCAGCAGAAAAGAGGGUUAUUAUGAGCAGGAACGUUGUCUUUGAUGAAAGUUCUCUGCUUAGAACCAUUGUGAAGCCUACAACUACGUCAGAAACUGGGAGUCUUGACAAACAGGUGGAGUUUCAAGUCAUUCAGAACGAGAGAGAUUUAAAGGAACCUGAAGAGGAGGAUCAAGAGCCACAGACAGAAACUGAUAUUCCAGAAUCUAUGCCAUCAGAUAUCCAUCAGAGUAUAGCUCAAGAUCGGCCAAGGAGGGUUGGAGUUCGGCCACCUACGAGGUAUGGUUUUGAGGACAUGGUGGGUUAUGCACUGCAGGUUGCUGAAGAGGUAGAUACAUCUGAGCCGUCUACUUACAAAGAAGCCAUUUUAAGUUCUGAUUCUGAAAAAUGGUUUGCCGCUAUGGGAGAUGAGAUGGAGUCCCUACACAAGAAUCAGACAUGGGAUCUGGUCAUACAACCUUCGGGGAGAAAGAUUAUUACUUGCAAAUGGGUUUUCAAGAAGAAGGAAGGGAUAUCACCAGCAGAAGGAGUCAAGUAUAAAGCUAGGGUUGUUGCCAGAGGUUUCAACCAAAGAGAGGGAGUGGACUACAAUGAGAUCUUCUCACCAGUGGUCAGACAUACUUCCAUCCGAGUGUUACUAGCGAUAGUUGCACAUCAGAAUCUGGAGCUUGAACAACUUGAUGUGAAGACAGCGUUUCUACAUGGAGAGUUGGAGGAAGAGAUAUACAUGACUCAACCGGAUGGUUUCCAAGUUCCAGGGAAGGAAAAUCACGUCUGCAAGUUGAAGAAGUCCUUAUAUGGACUUAAGCAGUCUCCAAGGCAGUGGUAUAAAAGGUUUGACAGCUAUAUGGUGAAGUUGGGCUAUACUCGGAGCUCAUAUGAUUGUUGUGUCUACUACAAUAGGCUCAAUGAUGAUUCAUUCAUCUAUCUGGUGCUUUAUGUAGAUGAUAUGUUGAUAGCUGCAAAGAAGAAGUAUGACAUUCAGAAGCUGAAGGGUUUACUUAGUGCUGAGUUUGAGAUGAAGGAUCUGGGAGCCGCUCGGAAGAUUUUAGGGAUGGAGAUCAUUAGAGACAGAGAGAGAAGGAAACUUUUCUUGUCACAGAGAAGCUACAUUCAGAAGGUCUUGGCGAGGUUUGGCAUGUCUUCAUCUAAGCCCAUUGAUACCCCCAGUGCUGCCAAUAUCCAUCUCACUGCCAUGUUCGCUCCACAGUCAGAAGAAGAGAAGGAGUAUAUGUCACGAGUCCCCUAUGCCAGUGCUGUAGGAAGUUUAAUGUAUGCUAUGGUCUGUACAAGGCCAGAUUUAGCACAUGCAGUCAGUGUAGUGAGCAGAUUCAUGGGACAACCAGGGAGAGAACAUUGGCAGGCUGUGAAGAGAAUUUUCCGGUACCUUAGAGGUACAUCUGACGUUGGUCUCAUUUAUGGAGGUGAUACUCAGUGCUUAGUUACUGGCUAUUCUGAUUCAGACUAUGCUGGAGAUGUUGACACAAGAAGAUCGAUGACUGGCUAUGUGUUUACCCUUGGAGGAUCUGUCGUCAGUUGGAAGGCAACUUUGCAACCUACAGUGACUUUGUCUACUACGGAAGCGGAGUACAUGGCCUUGACAGAGGCUGCAAAAGAAGGGAUUUGGUUGAAAGGGCUGGUUAGUGAUCUUGGUCUGCAUCAUGAUCAGGCUACGGUGUAUUGUGACAGUUUGAGCGCAAUUUGUCUAGCCAAGGAUCAAGUCCAUCAUGAGAGAACCAAGCAUAUUGACGUAAGGUAUCAUUUUCUGAGAAGUGAGAAGAGAAUCAAGGUGAAGAAAGUAGGAACUGCUGAUAAUCCUGCUGAUAUGUUUACAAAGCCGGUUCCACAGAGCAAGUUUCAACACUGUUUGGACUUGCUCAACAUCAGAAGCUGUUAAUUGCCCUGCGGGGCAACUCUGAGGAAGAGGGGGAGUCCUGGCACUAUCAUAGUGCGUCUGAAGAAUCUGUUCGGAGAAUUCAAGUCAAGGUGGAGAUUUGUUGAAUGCCUUGAAUCGGACCCGCUACAAACAGAAAGGACGGGGGUCUCGCUGCCCGGUCAGCGAGUCGAGGGGUCCAGGGGGGCGACGCGCCCCCUGGCCUGGGGGUCCGGGGGGGCGGAGACGCCCCCGGCCCGACGGUAUACAAUGUUGUUGUAUUGGGCCCUUAAUUUUCUGUUGAUUCAGUAUGUUGGGCCCAAGCCUGUUAGGGCGUAGCUUAGCACUAUAUAUAGACGCUAUGGGAAACCCUAUUCUGUAAUUCUGUUUUUGCCUCUCCAUAAUAAAACUGCUCCCUCUCUUCCCGUGGACGUAGCCAAUUUAUUGGUGAACCACGUAAAUCUGUUGUCUUGUUUUUCGCGUUUAUAUUUUCUCGUAUUAUCUCAAAUUCCGCACAACACUCUGCAAUAAGUUCAAGAACAAAUUGUGAGAGUAUAACCAUUUAUCAAGUGUCCCAUUGGGCAUGUAUUCCAACACUAGGGCCUUGAAAUCAAGAUUGGAGCAGCUGGUGAUGACUUUGGUCAGAUUUCUGUGGCGAAGGUUCCGGAGUACCUCACAUUCUGUGUCAAAGCUUUUGAAUGCACCCUCCAA